rnacentral:rRNA from 1 species
AUGUUGUUGCCAGCGCUUUCCCGGGCCGAGCCGGAAUUCUUUAUUAGAAUGUCGGCAGGCAAAGCCCGAAGGAAGGCUGCUAUCCCCUCGGCCUUCUUCCUUUUCGAUGAAAAACAAAUCAAUCUCCGAAAGCGUUUUCCUUACCCAGCCCCCCCUUCGUCGAGCCUUUCCUUUAGUGGUAAGGGAUAUGCACCUUAUCUGAACGUCGGCAGGCAUUCCAGAAUUCUCCUUUUUUGGCCCCGGGGUUGGUUCAACCGACUAUAA